GACGAACGCUGGCGGCGUGCCUAAUACAUGCAAGUAGGACGCAGUUGCGAACGGGUGAGUAACGCGUAGGUCACUACCUGUUAGAGGGGGAUAACUAUUGGAAACGAUAGCUAAUACCGCAUACUAGUAGAUGGACCUGCGUUGUAUUAUCUAGUAGGGAGGGUAAUGGCCUACCUAGGCAACGAUACAUAGCCGGGCUGGGAGGGAGAUCCGCCACACUGGGAAUGAGACCACGCCCAGACUCCCACGGGAGGCAGCAGUAGGGAAUCUUUGGAAAUGGGGGGCAACCUGAACGAGCAAAGCCGCGUGAGUGAAGAAGGUUUUCGGAUUGUAAAGCUCUGUUGUUAAGGAAGCGGUACUUAACCAGAAAGGGACGGCUAACUACGUGCCAGCCGCCGCGGUAAUAC
rnacentral:rRNA from 1 species